rnacentral:lncRNA from 1 species
UGAGGUCACACAAACAAGAAAACUAAUUUGGAUUGACCAAUUGGACUUGUGAAGUCCUAAUUGAAUUAGAAUUUAGUGAAAUCUUAUUGGAUUUAGGAAAGCCUUGGUAGCACAUGGUUAAAUCUAAUUCCUCUUUAGACUUAGAUUCUUUAUUUGAUAAGGAUUAGAUCAAGUUAGUUACAUGCAUUAGACCUAAUCCAAAUUGGAUUUGGAUUUAGAUUCAAGGGGCUC